AUUGAACGCUGGCGGCAGGCCUGACACAUGCAAGUCGAAUGGUAACAGGAAACAGCUUGCUGUUUCGCUGACGAGUGGCGGACGGGUGAGUAAUGUCUGGGAAACUGCCUGAUGGAGGGGGAUAACUACUGGAAACGGUAGCUAAUACCGCAUAACGUCGCAAGACCAAAGAGGGGGACCUUCGGGCCUCUUGCCAUCAGAUGUGCCCAGAUGGGAUUAGCUAGUAGGUGGGGUAACGGCUCACCUAGGCGACGAUCCCUAGCUGGUCUGAGAGGAUGACCAGCCACACUGGAACUGAGACACGGUCCAGACUCCUACGGGAGGCAGCAGUGGGGAAUAUUGCACAAUGGGCGCAAGCCUGAUGCAGCCAUGCCGCGUGUAUGAAGAAGGCCUUCGGGUUGUAAAGUACUUUCAGCGGGGAGGAAGGGAGUAAAGUUAAUACCUUUGCUCAUUGACGUUACCCGCAGAAGAAGCACCGGCUAACUCCGUG
rnacentral:rRNA from 1 species